GAUGAACGCUAGCGGCAGGCCUAACACAUGCAAGUCGAGGGGUAGAACACUUCGGUGUUUGAGACCGGCGCACGGGUGCGUAACGCGUAUGCAAUCUACCUUGUACAGGGGAAUAGCCCAGAGAAAUUUGGAUUAAUGCCCCAUAGUAUAUAACCUUCGCAUGUUGGUUAUAUUAAAGUUCCAACGGUACAAGAUGAGCAUGCGUCCCAUUAGUUAGUUGGUAAGGUAACGGCUUACCAAGACGAUGAUGGGUAGGGGUCCUGAGAGGGAGAACCCCCACACUGGUACUGAGACACGGACCAGACUCCUACAGGAGGCAGCAGUGAGGAAUAUUGGUCAAUGGGCGCAAGCCUGAACCAGCCAUGCCGCGUGCAUGAAGACGGUCCUAUGGAUUGAAAACUGCUUUUAUACAGGAAGAAACCCUCCCACGUGUGGGAGAUUGACGGUACUGUAGGAAUAAGGAUCGGCUAACUCCGUGCCAGCAGCCGCGGUAAAAC
rnacentral:rRNA from 1 species